GACGUAGGGCGCGAGCGUUGUCCGGAUUUAUUGGGCGUAAAGAGCUCGUAGGCGGCUUGUCGCGUCGUCCGUGAAAACCUGUGGCUCAACUGCAGGCUGGCGGUCGAUACGGGCGAGGCGUGGAGUUCGGUAGGGGAGACUGGAAUUCCUGGUGUAGCGGUGAAAUGCGCAGAUAUCAGGAGGAACACCGAUGGCGAAGGCAGGUCUCUGG
rnacentral:rRNA from 1 species